rnacentral:rRNA from 1 species
GUCUAUUUGUAGGUAUAUAAAGUCUGGCCUGCCCACUGAUAUUAUUAAAGGGCCGCGGUAAUUUGACCGUGCAAAGGUAGCAUAAUCGUUAGUUCCUUAAUUGGGAUCUUGUAUGAACGGUCGGACAAGAGAAUGACUGUCUCUAUGUUUUUGUUGAAUUUAACUUUUAAGUGAAAAGGCUUAAAUAUUUUAGAAAGACGAUAAGACCCUAUAAAGCUUAAUAAGUUAGAGUACUUAGCUGAGUUAAUAAAUAAAAGUUUAAUGUGAAAGACUUAUUUUGUUGGGGCGACAAUGAUAAAAUGUUUGUUAACUGUUUAUAAUAAGAAACAAAAUUUUAUGUUUGAAGAAUAAAGUAUAAAUGAUCCUUUAAUAAAGAUUAAAAGUUUAAGUUACUUUAGGGAUAACAGCGUUAUUUUUUUUGAGAGUUCAUAUCGAAAAAAAAGUUUGCGACCUCGAUGUUGAAUUAAAAUUUCUAUAUAGUUGCAGCAGCUAUAUAAGAAGGUCUGUUCGACCUUUAAAUUUUUACAUGAUUUGAGUUCAGACCGGCGUGAG